UACGGGGGGGGCAAGCGUUGUUCGGAAUUACUGGGCGUAAAGGGUUCGUAGGCGGCUUGCUAAGUCAGACGUGAAAUCCCUCAGCUUAACUGGGGAACUGCGUCUGAGACUGGCGAGCUUGAGGGUAGGAGAGGAACGCAGAAUUCCAGGUGUAGCGGUGAAAUGCGUAGAUAUCUGGAGGAAUACCGGUGGCGAAGGCGGCGUUCUGGACUACAUCUGACACUGAGGAACGAAAGCCAGGGGAGCAAACGGG
rnacentral:rRNA from 1 species